UCUCCCCAACAGCAAUUACCAUUCUUAAAGAUGUUGUCCCCCUUGCCCAAAACUCUCUCGAAAACGAUUCCAAAAAAAUUUCAGACUUCCUCCCUGUUCGAAACUCAAUCGAAGUUGUCUCGUGCUUGUCGUUUCCAGCCGGCGUUCAAAACUCAGUCAACUUCAUCACCACACGGUUGAAACUCAAGCGAAGUUUGUUCGAACUUUUUUCCAGUCGGUUCAACCGAAAGGAAAUGGUGCUUGCUUCCUUCGAGUCGCAUUUAGAGUCCUUGCACAAUACUCGACGUCAUACUUUUUCCUCAAAGUCAAUUUGAAAUUUGGUGAGUUUGGAAAUUUGAUACCCUAUAAAUAAACAUUGCUACUUCCGUUGAACUUGAUUAAUUAGUUAAGUGUUUAGGGUUAAUUAUGCAUGUCCGUUGAUGAAAUUAGUUGAAAUUUGGGGAGAUAUUUGGAAUUUUUGGAAAAUUUGGGUGCGAUAUGUGGUUAUGAAGUGUUGUUGAUAGGUUGUGUAUAGGGGCUAUUCGUUAACUUUUGUUUUGUUGAAUGAGUCGGGCACAUUUGAGAGGAUGAUGAAGCUGUCACAUGUGGAGAGAGGGGUGGGGUGGAAAGCGUGCGACGGGUGUGGUGGGACCAGGUUUGUGCCAUGUAUAGAGUGUGGUGGGAGUUAUAGGGUGGUGGUUGGGGAUAAGGGAGUAGGAUUCUCUCCCCUUCCCUCUCUUGUUCUCACACUUUCCUUUUUGUGUUUUUCUCUUGAUAAAAAAUUCAAAAUAAGAUGUUGACGUGACUUAAUUCAUACCGUUUAAAUAGGAGGGAAAUGAAGGGAAGAGAAAUUAGACGGAGAGAGAAUCCUACUAUGGGGAUAAGAGGGAGAGGUGCCCCCAAGUGUAACGAGGAUGGGUUGGUCCACUACGCAGCUUGACUGUCCUCUUACUCCAAUUCGUAAUGUGGUUUGACACGAGAAAAGCAUACUCACGAUGGGAAUUCUCAUUGUGGUCAAUUAUAUACAAUUUGAUAUUUCUAGCGUUAUUGGCAUAACGCGUGAUUGCAUGAGAUAUAAUCAUAAUGACAUUUGUUGUAAUUUCUCAUCUACAUAGUGUUGUGUAUGUUGGAGUUUAAACUAUCUUUUUC
rnacentral:lncRNA from 1 species